UACGUAGGGUGCAAGCGUUGUCCGGAAUUAUUGGGCGUAAAGAGCUCGUAGGCGGUUUGUCGCGUCUGCUGUGAAAACCCGAGGCUCAACCUCGGGCCUGCAGUGGGUACGGGCAGACUAGAGUGCGGUAGGGGAGAAUGGAAUUCCUGGUGUAGCGGUGAAAUGCGCAGAUAUCAGGAGGAACACCGAUAGCGAAGGCAGCACUCUGGUACGUGACUGACGCUGAGACGCGAAAGCGUGGGGAGCAAACAGG
rnacentral:rRNA from 1 species